AUGGCGGAGGAGGCUGCGGCAGCAGCAGCGGCGCCUCUCCUCGAGGGCCUCCCAGAUGAGAUCGUCCUGUGGGAGAUCCUCGUCCGCCUCGACCCCAAAUCCCUCCUCCGCUGCCGCGCCGUCCGCCGCGCCUGGCGCUGCGCCACCUCCACCCGCCGCUUCCUCCUUGCCCACCACGCCCGCCAAUCCGCCCUCCCCAUUUUCUCCAGCGACGGAUGCCGUAACCUCCUCGCCUUGGACCACCGGGCCGCCCAGCUCCACACCGUCGCCCGGCAUGACGAGCCCUUCUUUCUGGAGGCUUCCUGCGAUGGCCUCCUUCUAUCCAGGUCUUAUUCUGGCCGCCGCCUCGCCGUCUACAACCCGGCCACGCGGGAGCAUGCCUCCCUCGGGAGGUUACCGUCGGACUUCAGGAUCUUGGGGAUGUACCCACACCGCCCCACUGGAGAGUACCGGCUGCUACUGACCAACCUCAGAGGCCCUGAAGGCCAAAUCGGCUGUCAUGUCCUUACGCUGGGCUCCGACCAGCCACCGAGGUACAUUGGGUGGUUGGAGAUGGUAAAACCGCUCUUGUUCGAGAUAUCUGCCCUGUUCCGUGAUAGCCUACAUUGGUUCCUACAGAAGUAUAGAAAACAUGUAUUGGUAUUUGACACCACCACCGAAUCGUUCCGGCACAUGCGUGCUCCUCUUGUUCUUGGCGACAGUGACCCUGGCCUGUUUGAGAUGGAUGGCACGCUCGGCAUCAAUUGCCAUAAUGAUGCCAUGGGAAUCAUCACCAUAUGGGUGUUGCAGGAUUACGAAAGUGAGGUUUGGGACAUAAAGUACCGAAUCAAAUUGCCGGUUGGUGAAAUCAGGGAGAAGUUUGGAGACGAUGGUGAAAGCUGGGGUUUGGGUGUUGGUGUUCUUUCAGGGGAUGGUGACGUCCUCUUGCUGCUCAAUUUUGGUGGGUGGCUGCUUCAAGUUGACAGUGAUGGCAAAUUGAUUGAAAGUUUCGAUUGUGGUCAUAGAGACCUGGCGAUAUAUGAAUAUCAGCUCAAACAAAGUCUUGUCCAGCAUACCUUCUUCCCGGCUCUAAAAAGUGGUAGUGCCCCGCCUUUGAUCUGA
rnacentral:rRNA from 1 species